rnacentral:tRNA from 1 species
CACCAGGUGACUGAAGUUUAAGUGUUGGUCUUUUAAACCUAUUAUAGUAUGAUUACUUCUGGUGG